rnacentral:misc_RNA from 1 species
AAGUCGUAACAAGGUUUCCGUAGGUGAACCUGCGGAAGGAUCAUUAAAGAAUUAGGCUUCGCGGCCAAGUUCUCACCCUUUGUAUACCGAAGAUCCAUUGUUGCCUUUGGCAGUCCCCCGCGUUUCCUCGGGCCCUGCAGAUGUUAAUCAAACCUAGAAUCUCUGCUGUCUGAGUACUAUACAAUAGUUAAAA